rnacentral:rRNA from 1 species
GUGGGGAAUAUUGGACAAUGGGGGGAACCCUGAUCCAGCCAUGCCGCGUGUGUGAAGAAGGUCUUCGGAUUGUAAAGCACUUUAAGUUGGGAGGAAGGGCAGUAAGUUAAUACCUUGCUGUUUUGACGUUACCGACAGAAUAAGCACCGGCUAACUUCGUGCCAGCAGCCGCGGUAAUACGAAGGGUGCAAGCGUUAAUCGGAAUUACUGGGCGUAAAGCGCGCGUAGGUGGUUUUGUAAGUUGGAGGUGAAAUCCCCGGGCUCAAACUGGGAACUGCCUCCAAAACUGCAUGACUAGAGUACGGUAGAGGGUAGUGGAAUUUCCUGUGUAGCGGUGAAAUGCGUAGAUAUAGGAAGGAACACCAGUGGCGAAGGCGACUACCUGGACUGAUACUGACACUGAGGUGCGAAAGCGUGGGGAGCAAACAGGAUUAGAUACCCUAGUAGUCC